rnacentral:rRNA from 1 species
UAGCAUAUCAAUAAGCGGAGGAAAAGAAACCAACAGGGAUUGCCUUAGUAACGGCGAGUGAAGCGGCAACAGCCCAGAUUUGAAAUCUGACUUUCGGGUCCGACUUGUAAUCUGCAGAUGAGUCUUCCGGCAACGCGCCGUCCAAGUGCCCUGGAACGGGCCGCCGGAGAGGGUGAGAGCCCCGUACCGACGCGCGCCGCGCCUCUGUGAAGCUCAUUCGAAGAGUCGAGUAGUUUGGAAAUGCUGCUCUAAUUGUGGGGUAAAUCUCCCAUAAGGCUAAAUACCGGCCAGAGACCGAUAGCGCACAAGUAGCGUGAGCGAAAGAUGAAAAGAGCCUUGAACAAGGGCGUCAAACAGCAUGUGAAAUUGUUAUGGGGGAAGCGCUCGAUGCCAGACGUGGUGGCGGUUGGUUACCCGGCGUUCUUCGCCGGCGCACUCUGCCGUCGCCAGGCCAGCAUCAGUUCGGACCGAGGCUUACCGCCGGCGGGAAUGUGGCUCCCCUCGGGGAGUGUUAUAGCCCGUCGGUACCGUCUCGGACCGGACUGAGGACCGCGCUUUUGCCCGGAUGCUGGCGUAAUGGCCUUUAGCGACCCGUCUUGAAACACGGACCAAGGAGUUGACCUAGCGUGCGAGUGUUUGGGUGCAAAGCCCUUACGCGCAGUGAAAGCGAAUGCAGGUGGGAGCUUCGGCGCACCAUCGACCGAUCCUGAAGUUUACGGAUGGAUUUGAGUAAGAGCACGUUGGGUCUGACCCGAAAGAAGGUGAACUAUGCAUGAAUAGGGUGAAGCCAGAGGAAACUCUGGUGGAGGCUCGCAGCGGUUCUGACGUGCAAAUCGAUCGUCAAAUUUGUGCAUGGGGGCGAAAGACCAAUCGAACCUUCUAGUAGCUGGUUCCUGCCGAAGU